GAUGAAGAACGCAGCGAAAUGCGAUAAGUAAUGUGAAUUGCAGAAUUCAGUGAAUCAUCGAAUCUUUGAACGCACAUUGCGCCCGCCAGUAUUCUGGCGGGCAUGCCUGUUCGAGCGUCAUUUCAACCAUCAAGCCCCCGGCUUGUGUUGGGGACCUGCGGCUGCCGCAGGCCCUGAAAAGCAGUGUCGGGCUCGCUGUCACACCGAGCGUAGUAGCAUACAUCUCGCUCUGGGCGUGCUGCGGGUUCCGGCCGUUAAACCACCUUCAUAACCCAAGGUUGACCUCGGAUCAGGUAGGAAGACCCGCUGAACUUAAGCAUAUCAAUAAGCGGAGGA
rnacentral:misc_RNA from 1 species